GUAUAUCCAUUGCGGUGCUUUAAAAUUUUCGAUCUUAUUUUAAUUUUCGGAGAAAGAGAAGUCAAUUUUAUUGCUUGAAAUAUUUAAAGACUAUACUACUGACCAAGAAGAAAAAUCAAGAGUGUUUUCAAGGAAUUACUCCAGCUAGUUUUUCGAAUAAAAAAUGAAGUAUGACAGGAAGUCUGCAACGUCUCAAACGGAUAUACGUAGGUUCACACUUAGGCUAUUGUAAUUCAUCUUCCCGAGGGCUCUACCCUUUGGUUUUCGUGAGUUGAAUGGCUUUCCACGCUCCAACGAGGUUCCACACUAAGAGCCUACGAAUCGCCUUCAAAGGAAUGAGUAGGCAACCCCACGACUGCCGUGAUCGAAUAGUUAUCGCUCCAGAUUACAAGGCGCUUUGAAAAACGUUCAUUCCAUUGAGGAUUUGGAUACUAGAUUGAUAUCAGCCAGAAAGCUCAUACUCGCUGGAUCUUUAAAAUUAUUUUCCACCGUAUCAACUCAUGCAAGAAAAGGAAAGCAAUCAAGCAUUCGUUUGGGUGAGCGUGCUAAAUUUAAAUUGGUUUUUUCCGCGCCGACAGCGCCGUUGAUCAGCCGUUCACUGUUGCUCAUCCGGAGAUUUCGGCCAGUCUGUUUUGUUUUCAUCCGUUGCCGCUUGCCGUUCUCAGUGUUUUCGCAGAACUGGAAAUCGCUACGCCGAGUCGCUGAAAAUCGCCGGAUUACGUUUUAGAAUUUCUCAUUUUAAAUUUGGUUAAUUUCAUGCACUCAGUGAUGUGAUUACGGCUUUUUUUUUAAUCCUACAAAACCUGCUGUUCGAUUAAUGGCAAUCAUUGCCGGUUUAGUUCGGUAUCACGGUGUUAUGUUAACCAUGGUUAACCUUAAAUUUCCGCGGCCUUGUUUGUGUUUACAUGAGGGCUCUUAUCAUACCGACCGAGUGAGGAGAAACGGUAUGUUUGCAAAGUGUGCAAUGCGGCGUACAAGUACCAUUCUUCACUUUGCCAUCAUGCAAAAUCUCACACGAACGAGACUGUUUGUGAUGUCUGCGGGAAGAGUUUCGGGAGCGUAGGCUCUUUGAAGACCCAUCUGCUCCUCGUCCAUCGCAUCAAACCGAAUACGACAAAGUUUUGAGAUUCUGCGAAAGCGAACAAAAAAGGUCCGGCCUCGGGCGAAUAGUAUCUCGUUAAAAAUUAAAAUUUAUCAAGUAUUUCAAAAUUUUGGUCUUUAUUUCCUACCCUCUCUUUCGAUCGAGUUCCUACUCGAGUUCCUGUUUUAAAUUUGUCUCUUUAGUAAAACAAAAUACCGUAUGCGCCCUCAGGCGUUGCCAUAUUUCCUUUAAUCACCCACGAAUUUACUGGGAAAAUUCUGAAUAUUUUUCUUCCAUUUUUUCAGACAAUUUUGCUCCCCAUUUUAUCUAAAAUAUCUGAAAAUUCUAAGGGAAAAUAAGCAUAACUUUCUUCAAAAAUACAUGUUUUAUUCGGGGAAAUUUGGCAACUCUCGAAUGUUCAUACGGCGUUUUUCCUUAGCACGGCAGCAAUAGGCUAGUUACGCUGGUAACAGAAUCUUGUUUAAAUGCUUGAUUCUCGUAGAUUAGCGAAAAAUAAGAAGAUCUGCCAAAACAGCAACUUUCUACGUUGAAUAUUAACCGAGAUAUCGUCCUUUGAAAAGUCG
rnacentral:lncRNA from 1 species